CCGAGUUGUAAUCUCGAGAAAUGUUUUCCGUGUUAGACCGCAUACAAGUCUCUUGGAACAGAGCGUCAUAGUGGUGAGAACCCAGUACACGAUGCGGAUGCCUAAUACUUUGUGAUACAUUUUCGAAGAGUCGAGUUGUUUGGGAAUGCAGCUCAAAUUGGGUGGUAAAUUCCAUCUAAAGCUAAAUAUUGGCGAGAGACCGAUAGCGAACAAGUACCGUGAGGGAAAGAUGAAAAGCACUUUGGAAAGAGAGUUAACAGUACGUGAAAUUGUUGGAAGGGAAACACAUGCAGUCAGACUUGCUAUUCGGGGCAACUCGAUUGGCAGGCCCGCAUCAGUUUUUCGGGGCGGAAAAGCAUAGAGAGAAGGUAGCAGUUUCGGCUGUGUUAUAGCUCUUUAUUGGAUUCGCCCUGGGGGACUGAGGAACGCAGCGUGCUUUUAGCAUGAGCUUCGGCUUAUCCACGCUUAGGAUGCGGGUGUAAUGGCUGUAUAUGACCCGUCU
rnacentral:rRNA from 1 species